AUUGGACGCUGGCGGCAUGCCUUACACAUGCAAGUCGAACGGUAACAGGUCUUCGGAUGCUGACGAGUGGCGAACGGGUGAGUAAUACAUCGGAACGUGCCCGAGAGUGGGGGAUAACGAGGCGAAAGCUUUGCUAAUACCGCAUACGAUCUCAGGAUGAAGGCAGGGGACCGCAAGGCCUUGCGCUCACGGAGCGGCCGAUGGCAGAUUAGGUAGUUGGUGGGAUAAAAGCUUACCAAGCCGACGAUCUGUAGCUGGUCUGAGAGGACGACCAGCCACACUGGGACUGAGACACGGCCCAGACUCCUACGGGAGGCAGCAGUGGGGAAUUUUGGACAAUGGGCGCAAGCCUGAUCCAGCCAUGCCGCGUGCAGGAUGAAGGCCUUCGGGUUGUAAACUGCUUUUGUACGGAACGAAAAGACUCUGGUUAAUACCUGGGGUCCAUGACGGUACCGUAAGAAUAAGCACCGGCUAACUACGUGCCAGCCGCCGCAGUAACAC
rnacentral:rRNA from 1 species